rnacentral:rRNA from 1 species
GACGAACGCUGGCGGCGUGCCUAACACAUGCAAGUCGAGCGGAGAAAAUUGAAAGCUUGCUUUUGGUUUUCUUAGCGGCGGACGGGUGAGUAACGCGUGGGCAACCUGCCUAUCACAGGGGGAUAACACAGGGAAACUUGUGCUAAUACCGCAUAACACAACGAGGUAGCAUUACCUUGCUGUCAAAGGAGCAAUCCGGUGGUAGAUGGGCCCGCGUCCAAUUAGCUAGUUGGUGAUGUAACGGACCACCAAGGCGACGAUUGGUAGCCGAACUGGGAGGUUGAUCGGCCACAUUGGGACUGAGACACGGCCCAGACUCCUACGGGAGGCAGCAGUGGGGAAUAUUGCACAAUGGGGGAAACCCUGAUGCAGCAACGCCGCGUGAAGGAUGAAGGUUUUCGGAUUGUAAACUUCUUUAGUCAGGGACGAAUAAAUGACGGUACCUGAAGAAUAAGCCACGGCUAACUACGUGCCAGCCGCCGCAGUAA